rnacentral:rRNA from 1 species
ACGGGAGGCAGCAGUGAGGAAUAUUGGUCAAUGGACGAGAGUCUGAACCAGUCAAGUAGCGUGCAGGAUGACGGCCCUAUGGGUUGUAAACUGCUUUUGUACGGGAAUAAAGUGACCUACGUGUAGGUUUUUGCAUGUACCGUAAGAAUAAGGACCGGCUAAUUCCGUGCCAGCAGCCGCGGUAAUACGGAAGGUCCGGGCGUUAUCCGGAUUUAUUGGGUUUAAAGGGAGCGUAGGCCGUGCUUUAAGCGUGUUGUGAAAUGUAGGCGCCCAACGUCUGCACUGCAGCGCGAACUGGAGCACUUGAGUACGCAGGAAGUAGGCGGAAUUCGUCGUGUAGCGGUGAAAUGCAUAGAUAUGACGAAGAACACCGAUUGCGUAGGCAGCUGACCAGGCCGUAAAUGACGCUCAUGCACGAAAGUGCGGGGAUCGAACAGGAUUAGAUACCCUGGUA